rnacentral:rRNA from 1 species
UACGUAGGGGGCAAGCGUUGUCCGGAAUCAUUGGGCGUAAAGCGCGUGUAGGCGGCUCGAUAAGUCUGCUGUGAAAGUCCAGGGCUCAACCCUGGGAUGCCGGUGGAUACUGUCGAGCUCGAGUCCGGAAGAGGCGAGUGGAAUUCCUGGUGUAGCGGUGAAAUGCGCAGAUAUCGGGAGGAACACCUAUGGCGAAGGCAGCUCGCUGGGACGUUACUGACGCUGAGACGCGAAAGCGUGGGGAGCAAACAGG